rnacentral:rRNA from 1 species
UACGUAGGCAGCAAGCGUUGUUCGGAGUUACUGGGCGUAGAGGGUGCGCAGGCGGUUCUGUAAGUAUGGUGUGAAAUCUCCCGGCUUAACUGGGAGGGUGCGCUAUAAACUGCGGGACUAGAGUGUGGGAGAGGAAAGUGGAAUUCCUGGUGUAGCGGUGAAAUGCGUAGAUAUCAGGAGGAACACCAGUGGCGAAGGCGGCUUUCUGGACGAUAACUGACGCUGAGAACGCGAAAGCGUGGGGAGCAAACAGG